rnacentral:sRNA from 1 species
UCUAUGUAGAUGAUCAUUCAAGAGUUCAUUUAAUGAUAAACACAGAGAAACAGGAAGGAGAUUAUAUCAAUGCUUCCUACGUCAGAGGUGACAACAAUGAUGUCAAAUUUAUAGCAGCUCAAGGACCAUUCAGUACAGUGGUGAAUGACUUUGUCAGAAUGUUGUGGGAACAGAAAAUAGAGAAAGUCGUCAUGCUGACUAACUUGAUAGAGGAAGGAAAGGU